UACGUAGGGUGCAAGCGUUAAUCGGAAUUACUGGGCGUAAAGCGUGCGCAGGCGGUGAUGUAAGACAGGUGUGAAAUCCCCGGGCUUAACCUGGGAACUGCAUUUGUGACUGCAUCGCUGGAGUGCGGCAGAGGGGGAUGGAAUUCCGCGUGUAGCAGUGAAAUGCGUAGAGAUCGGAAGGAACAUCAGUGGCGAAAGCGACUUCCUGGACCAAUACUGACGCUCAUGUGCGGAAAGCGUGGGGAGCAAACAGG
rnacentral:rRNA from 1 species